rnacentral:rRNA from 1 species
UACGUAGGGUGCGAGCGUUGUCCGGAAUUACUGGGCGUAAAGGGUGCGUAGGUGGCGAUUUAAGUUGGAUGUGAAAUACCCGGGCUUAACCUGGGGGGUGCAUUCAAAACUGGAUGGCUAGAGUGCAGGAGAGGGAAGCGGAAUUCCUGGUGUAGCGGUGAAAUGCGUAGAUAUCAGGAGGAACACCAGUGGCGAAGGCGGCUUUCUGGACUGUAACUGACACUGAGGCACGAAAGCGUGGGGAGCAAACAGG